rnacentral:rRNA from 1 species
UACGUAGGUGGCAAGCGUUGUCCGGAUUUACUGGGCGUAAAGCGCGUGUAGGCGGCCCGGUAAGUCCGCUGUGAAAGUCGGGGGCUCAACCCUCGGAUGCCGGUGGAUACUGUCGGGCUCGAGUACGGAAGAGGCGAGUGGAAUUCCUGGUGUAGCGGUGAAAUGCGCAGAUAUCAGGAGGAACACCAAUUGCGAAGGCAGCUCGCUGGGACGUUACUGACGCUGAGACGCGAAAGCGUGGGGAGCAAACAGG